CAGCAGCAGGAUCCAUUUUUGGGGCCUUCUGGGCCACCCCUGUCACGGCAUUGCCAUCAGAAGCUGCAACAGCAUCCUAACAGCAGAGAGACUUGAAGAUGCUGGAUUCUUCUACCAUGGAACUGCAUGCAACUUCUCCAGAGGACAGACCUUGCCCUUUCACCAGCACAGACCUUGGCAGAUGCUGUGUUUACUUCUGUGAAUUCUAGUUCUCGUCUUUCUCACUUGGCAGAAGCUACUCGGCCUUCAAGGACUAGGUCAAGUGUAUGUUCUUAAUAUAAAGAGGCCCCAAGCCAAAGUUCUUGGAUGCAAUUGAGAGAAACUGUUAAGACGCAGCUUGUAAAUUUUCCUAAGAAAACAAUCUUAGUUCAAGAACUCCAUUCCUCACCUCUCGUGUUGGUAAAAUCAUCAUGUCUGAGCUCCUUGUUUCAAACGGACGCAUCACCAUCCUGAAAACAAAAUAAAAAUCAAACGGACGCAUCCCCAAUUAAGUGUGAAAACAAGAAGAUUUUAAGAUUUGAAGUGAAUAUCUUGAAUUAUGAUGACUGAGUGUGGAACUGUGUUUUGUACUUCAAAACAUUGUGGCAAAAUUAGCAUUUUAUCACUAAGUGUGUAACUUAGUGGCAUUAAGUACAUUCAAGUGCUGUGCAUGUCUCAGCUGACCUCUGGAACUC